UCAUCAUGGCUGCUACACGCAUUGCCCUGUUCGCGUCCGGCCUCGCCGUCUUGCUUCUCCUAGUCCAAGGAUCGCCACCAGGGCCCGUUGUCCAGUGCCGGUCCGGCAACACUAACUGCACCGUGACCAACGGCUAUGGAGCCUUCCCUGAUCGCAGCACCUGCCACGUCGCCGCGGUCGCGUACCCUUCGACCGAACAGGAGCUCCUGUUCGCUGUCUCCGACGCCACCGCGAAGCAGCAGCACAUGAAGGCGGUCACGAGGUACUCCCACAGCAUCCCCAAGAUGUCGUGCCCCGGCGGGCCGAGUGGCCAGGGCCUGGUCAUUAGCACCCAGCGCCUCAACAGAUCGGUGAGCGUGGACAUGGCCACCUCGCGGAUGACGUUCGAGGCAGGGAUCACACUUAGGCAGCUCCUCAACGCGGCGGCCGCCCGUGGACUGGCGCUGCCCCACUCGCCGUAUUGGCAAGGGGUGACGCUGGGAGGGCUGCUGAGCACCGGCUCGCACGGGAGCUCGUUGUUCGGGAAAGGCUCAGCGGUGCACGAAUAUGUGGUGGGGAUGAGGCUGGUGGUUCCAAGUCCGGUCCCGGUGAACGGAUACUACGCCAAGAUCGUUAACCUUGGUGAGGAUGAUCCUGAUCUCUUGGCUGCCAAGGUUUCUCUCGGUGUUCUCGGAGUUAUUUCUCAGGUAUAUAUGUAGUGACCUAAGUGUUAUUCUUUGUUCUUUACACAGUUUGAGAUCCAUGUGAUAACUCAUCUUAGUUCUUCAUCGUGGUUCUUCCAACCACGUCAAGUACUUUCAUGAACUGAGUGCAUGACUUGCCACGCCUCGAUGCUAACUAGGUGCAACUAUUUCUUUAAUUCUUCAUGAUAUAAUAGAGAUCAUCCUAUUGUUAUUAACAAGGCUUUGUUUGCAAUACGUCAGCAAAAUGUCUAGACAAAAAAAAAAUGUUUUCUACAAAUCACUUUACAAAGGAGAAGACCUGUUCUUUUCCUAGAAUCUAGAAAGUAAUGUAAAAUAAUAGGCAGUCGAUGAUCCCAGUGGACUUUAGUUUUAAUCUUUCCAUUUUUUCUUGGUUUGCUCGACUUCCUUGUUUCAAAAUGGGCUAAUGCAAACCUUUGAACCGUUCUAAUGAUUCCAUAUAGCUUCUCUCGUAGUUUAUAGUAACUACACAACACAAUUGAGUGUUAUGAAACAUAUGAGCACAUGCAAACCCACAUGGACAAAGAUCAGAGAAAAAGCAAACUUAUAUGAGAGCGAGUGCAUGAUUUGAAGCUUUGCAUUUACUUACAUCUUAUAAUGAAUAGUAUUUUCCUUGUAAGAACACCUACAGUGACGUUGAUGAUGGCUCGGUGUAAAUGAGAGUGGCCCUUCACAUACGGAGCCUCGCGCAAGGCAAGAGGCAGGCAGGUCCAUACUGCCUUGCCUUGCAGAGCUUACGACCGGGCCCACUAAUUGCCUUCAAAGCCUCUGUAAAAAGAACUACUACAUCGGACGAUAGAGGAUCCUAGUAGUAGUAUCUCUUGUUUCAAUCUUGUUGCCUGAAUAGCUGAAAAGAGUUGACUUGCAAUACAUGUAAGCUUUUGUUCUGCUGCUUCAUUAUAAGUAACCUAAGAAAUUACUUGAACCGAUCGAGCAGGUCACCCUCCAACUUGAGCCAAUGUUCAAGCGAUCCAUCACCAACAGGGUCGUAGGCGACGUUGGCUUCGAGCAAACCAUCUCCUCGUACGCUGUCACCACGUACUAUGGAGACCUCAGCUGGUAUCCGUCACAAGGCAGAGUGGUGUACCGCGAUGAUAUCAAGGUCCCCAUCACCACCAAAGGAAAGGGUGUAAACGAUCACCUUUUCCUUCGAGCACAGCCCACCCUCGACGUAGCCUCUACACGUGCUUCAGGUCUUAUAUAUUGCAGCUUUUAUUUUGCUUGACAAUCUUGAUGUAGUGUUCGAGCAGUAUCGUACGAGAUUUAUACUGACAAGGCAUCUCUUGUCCUCUACCAUGUGUUUGUGUUUAUGACUGCAGAGGAACUAUUGGAAUUAACAGGAAAUGCCGGAGGCAAAUGCGUGCUUUCCAGAUCGCAUGUAGAUACUCAGAUCGCGAACGGCAUGGGGCUUAAGAACAAUGACGGCGGCUUGUCAGAUUUCACCGGCUAUCCAGUCAUUGGAAACCAAAGCGACAUGCAAUCCUCCGGUGGGUUCUCCAAUUAUCCGAAGAAUGUAUAUGAUGACACAUGUUACACCUGUAUUCUGUAUUAUUUAGUCUGAGGCAUCUUCUCUCCAGGUUCGUGCCUAAGGAGUGCAGAAGACAACCUUCUCACAGCCUGUGCAUGGGACCCUCGCUUUGCGGGGUCCUUCUACCACCAAACCGCGAUAAGCAUCCCCUUCACCACCGUUGCAGACUUCAUCGCCGACGUCAAGAAGCUCCGCGACGCCCACCCGAACGCACUCUGCGGCACCGAGCUGUCCUUGGGCUUCUUCAUGCGCUUCCUCCGCAACUCCACGGCCUAUCUUGGNNNNNNNNNNNNNNNNNNNNNNNNNNNNNNNNNNNNNNNNNNNNNNNNNNNNNNNNNNNNNNNNNNNNNNNNNNNNNNNNNNNNNNNNNNNNNNNNNNNNNNNNNNNNNNNNNNNNNNNNNNNNNNNNNNNNNNNNNNNNNNNNNNNNNNNNNNNNNNNNNNNNNNNNNNNNNNNNNNNNNNNNNNNNNNNNNNNNNNNNNNNNNNNNNNNNNNNNNNNNNNNNNNNNNNNNNNNNNNNNNNNNNNNNNNNNNNNNNNNNNNNNNNNNNNNNNNNNNNNNNNNNNNNNNNNNNNNNNNNNNNNNNNNNNNNNNNNNNNNNNNNNNNNNNNNNNNNNNNNNNNNNNNNNNNNNNNNNNNNNNNNNNNNNNNNNNNNNNNNNNNNNNNNNNNNNNNNNNNNNNNNNNNNNNNNNNNNNNNNNNNNNNNNNNNNNNNNNNNNNNNNNNNNNNNNNNNNNNNNNNNNNNNNNNNNNNNNNNNNNNNNNNNNNNNNNNNNNNNNNNNNNNNNNNNNNNNNNNNNNNNNNNNNNNNNNNNNNNNNNNNNNNNNNNNNNNNNNNNNNNNNNNNNNNNNNNNNNNNNNNNNNNNNNNNNNNNNNNNNNNNNNNNNNNNNNNNNNNNNNNNNNNNNNNNNNNNNNNNNNNNNNNNNNNNNNNNNNNNNNNNNNNNNNNNNNNNNNNNNNNNNNNNNNNNNNNNNNNNNNNNNNNNNNNNNNNNNNNNNNNNNNNNNNNNNNNNNNNNNNNNNNNNNNNNNNNNNNNNNNNNNNNNNNNNNNNNNNNNNNNNNNNNNNNNNNNNNNNNNNNNNNNNNNNNNNNNNNNNNNNNNNNNNNNNNNNNNNNNNNNNNNNNNNNNNNNNNNNNNNNNNNNNNNNNNNNNNNNNNNNNNNNNNNNNNNNNNNNNNUGUGUCGCUUCCUCUUUGAAUAAAAGACGUAAUGUCAGUCAAUAAUUGCUACAUAAUAUUAUAUUGUAAUAUUAAAGCAAGGGUCGACAAAUGCUAUAUUGUAUGGGAGGCAGAUUACGUUCCUUCUGAUUUAUCUGUACUGGUCCAAGAUGACUUAUACAAGCCAUUCUAUGGAAAACAAUUAGUACAUAAUUUCUCAUUAUUUUUAAUAGCAAGAUCCCAAUGUGACUCUCCAGUAUCCGUUGCAUGAAUGGGACGAGGAAGCAAGAAAUAACAGCGCCGUUAUUAAUGCCAUCGUGUGGAGAGAUAUAGUACGUUAACGCGAUAUUCUUCGCUAUCGCUCCUUAAAAUAAUAAUGAUGAUUAAUGAUAAUAUAGCCUAAGACUCACGUAAAUGUUCUGAUGAAUUUUACAUAAAUUACACUUGACCCACGUUUCAUGGCAUAAAUGAAAUGGUAGUUCACACCGGUUCCAUUUCAAAAUUUUGACUCAAAGCUCGUCCUAUGGAUCGCUAGAAUAAACCAUAUGAUAAGCUACAUAAAUACGGAAAUCACAAAGAAGGAUGAUUACUGUAAUUAUGCCUUCCUCGAUCCCCCCAACCCCAAGAAACUAUUGCUCUCUAUAAAUAACUCUAGGGCGCAGCAUCCAAUCAUUGGUUUGUUCCUUUCUCAUCCUCGCAGUAUAAUUUAGAGAUAGGAAGUGGUCGCACCAUGAUCGAGGGAAACAGCAGCGAGAGCAAGCUGAGCCAAUACAUCCGGUCCCCGACCGGGCGCUCCGGCAUGCACGGGACUUGUACGAGAGCAGCAUGGCCGGGACCGAUAAUAUAUGUAUACAUGUCUUGUGAUAAUCUCACGUAAGCUCAUUCAUCUACACAAAAUAACUAGUUUUAGAUCGGGCAAGACAUCCAGAAGUAUUGAUUGUUUAAUAGACGACAGUGUUUAUUUAUGUGCGUGCUUGUUUUCAUCUUAAAAAAAGGAAAUGGCGAAUUCCUAAAACAAUUAUCAACUUUAAGAAUUUUUCAAAUAGCAUUAUAGCAAUUUUUUUAAGACAGAUCAUUCUACCUCUAUCGGCCAUCAUCUUCGCCUUCACAUUGCCAUCGUUGCAGUCCCCCAUAGCCCUCACGCUAGGAAAAUUGGAUUGCGAGGGCCAUUAAUUUCUUCCUGCACCACCUCCCCUCCCCUCUGCUGUAUUAGGCCAAUCAUAUGCAGUCUUCAUGCGAGGAAGGAAGAGACAUGAGAGGAGUCAUCGCCUUUGUAGACUCACCCCUAUACACUUCGCUCGUAGCUCUCGUGUGAGGAAGAACAUGGUGGGAGGGUGGCACCUUCGCAGAUUUGGCCCCUGUCAAACCCAUCAUAAUCUAAUUUAGAUUAUACUAUAAAGACUUAGACUUUUACUGAGUCAACUGAAUCUUUUGAUAAUGCAAAUAUUAUAUAGGUCUUAUCAGGUAUGUUCUCAUAUCUUUUGACAAUACAAACAUUAUAUGGGCAUGUUCUCAGUUCAAUAUUGUAGUUUUGCAAGUCUGAUGUGAGUAGAUUUGGUGUUCUACCUGGUUCUUUUUAUGAAAUUUUUGAAAAAAAAAAUCUAUCUAAUAUGUAUUGUCAAAACAUAAACAUAAUCUAAAAGUAUCUCUUAGAUAUCUUAAUAUCUAUUUUACUAUUAUCUAAUAUUCUUUAUCAAGAUUAGAGAGAAAUGAACUGACAACUCGAACUGCAUGAGCUAUAUCUAGCCUAGUACAUAUCAUAAUAUACAUCAAACUAUUUACCGCAAAUGAAUAAGGCACUUUGAAUAUUUCUUCUUUUUCUUUCUCACUUGUAGGAUCUCACUUAUAGGAUAUUGUUUCGAACUAAGUAUAAAAUGACCUACAAGUGGAGAACAAACUAGUUAAGUUUUAUUUAUUUUAAAAUUUUCAAGAAUAUUUUUAAUAUAGGACUCUUGAGAUAGCCAAAUCAUUCCAUUCUACACCCACACACACACGAACCUCCAAGAGUUCUAGUUUGUAUACUACAAACAUCAGUAAACCAAAUCAAUAACAUUUGAUAUUCUAAAUGAUGAAUAAGUAUGAAAGGUAACUAUAUAUUUUUUUUCUACUAAGCAAUGAUCACAAGAUUUAAAAGAUGUAUCUUACAACUCUGGUAAGAACUAUUUUCUAGCAAGAGUUUGAAGUCCUUUCUUGCUGAUAUGACCAAGCCUCUUAUGCCAAAGAUUUAUACUUUCACCCUUUUGAAUUGCAUUAAUCUCUCCUUUAUAUAGCUUAGCUUCUAUGACAUAGAAAGAGUUUAGCUUCUUUACUCUCAUCACAACUAGAUAACUUUUGGUAAGCUUUCAUUUGCUUUCACCAAAAUAGUGUACAAAUCUCUCAUCACCAAGUCUAUAUAUAGAUAUCAAGUUAAGACGAAUAUCUGAAACAUAUCUAACAUAUUUGAGUAUCAAUUUGCUCUCAAUAUUGGUCUCUAACCAAAUAUCUCAAAUACCCAUAAUCUUUGACGUACUAUUAUUUCCUAUUUUAAUAUUACUAAAAUCAUCAAAAGUGUAAGAUACGAAGAAAUCAUUAUAAGAAAUAAUAUGGAAUGAAGCACCGGAGUUAAUUACCCAGUUACUGUUCUAAGCUGCAAGACUGAUACAUCUGUCAUCACAAACAAUAACGAUAUCACCUUUAAUAACAACUGUAUUGUGUCUCUUUCUUAUUUUUCUUCCUUUCAUUCUGUUCUCACUUUCAAAACCUAUACUCUUUUUUCAUAUAACCUGACCUGUUAUAGUAGAAACACUUGAUAUCUCUUCUAGACUUAAAUCUUCCUCUGUAACCAUGUAGAUUUUUACUAUGACUUCUUUCAUGUCUUUCUUAUUUUUCAAUAACAAGUGUACUAGAAGAAGAUUCUCCUUGUUCAUUCCUUUUGACAUCUUUAUUAAGAAAAUUAUCUUUAACAUGUCUAUGGUUAGAGUCUCUUUUGGCAUGAAGUAAAAAUUGUCACCACGUACGUUUCCUAACUUUGUGGAAAAGAGCUGAGAAGUAACAAUCCUUAUAUCUCAUUAUCUAUAUUCAUUUUUAUAGCAACUAACUUAUUUGUAAGACUCUGAAACAAGCUUAUGUGCUCAACAAUAUUGCCACCAUUUUCACAAAGAGAUUUUCUAAUCUUUACCAAACAACAUCAGCUUUGGUUUCAUAAAUAAUAUGCUUAUGUAAAUUUAUAUGCAUCCAUUUUCUAAUAUACGUAAUAGUUUUUGUAUAUUGAUCCUUCCAUUCCUCAUCAUAGAAGGUUUUUCUUUGAAAUUGAUGAUCGUAUACAAAUCGUUACAAUAGAAUAAAUCUUUCAUCAUAUGUCUCCAAGUGAAAUAAUUUGAUAAGUUCAAUUUAAUCAUAUCAUUUGAUUCUUAUAUUUCAAUCACACAAAAAAACUAGCACCAAAUAAUAUGAUGCUCUGAUACCAUUUUGUGGGGAAAAAACUAUUGCAAUGGAAUUUUUUUUUUCCUAUUUGUGGAUCAAAAUGGGUACUUCACCAAAAUAUCGAUUUGUUAUCAAAAGUAAAUAUUAAUCGAAACAACAUAGUAGAACAAUGAAUCAAUCAUAAAGUGGUACAUUAAUUUUUUAUGAAAAAAUUCAUUGUCGAAAAAAUCACAAGACUAUAUUCCACUUCAAACCUCCACUAUUACUAAUAAUAAUAAUAAAUUUAUAAUAAAUUUUAUUCAGAAUAACUAGAGGAUCACAAUAACAUCAAGAAUACAAAUCUCGACUCAACAAUAACAUACAUGAAUUUUAUCAAAAAAAAUAUUUAAGUCUCAUCAAAUGAAUAUAUUAUAAAAGUAUAUCAGAAAAGAUAAAUCACAUAUCGACACCGUUAGUAUUGUAAAAAAUAUUAUAAAUAUUUUUCAUAUAAAAUUUAGAGCAAAACUGAUAAAAUUUACCCGCUUAAUUGUCUAACAACAACUUAAUAACCUUAACUUUUUCUUUCUUUUUCUCCCUAUCUUUUUAGUGGUUAUAGUGUUCGCACGUCCUUCACCGCGCAGGUCUGUCCUUUUUCUUUUUUUUUAAUAACUUUAUUGUCCAAUCCAAACCCACCCAAGCUGGUCCCAACAAUUUGUCUGAUCCCAUCGUAAGGAAUGCAUGACCACCAGACAACCUCCCCGACAGUAUCUGACGCAGACAUCACUAACCUUAUCGCUUUUAAAAAUAAUAAACUCGUGUCACACGUUGAUAUUUUUAUUGGUUUUAAUUAAUUUCCACUUGGCCCAUCCGAUUCACAGAAAUGACUUCACAGUUCUCAUUGCGUACGCAUCUAAUUUUUUAACAAAAUGGCUGCUCUUAUUGCAUGUCCGAGAAUCAGAUACGGAUGAUACGGUACUGCUUUUCCGUUGUCCUCCCUCCCACAUCAUCCCCGGUUUCCACAGACACUGGUGGAAGUAAAAUUGCCAACUCAUCUACCUCCCUAUAUCAAUUAAUUAUCUAAUCUCGUGCUUGCAUCACGUCUUCUGCAACCAUCAACCCGAGACAUCGACAGUUACGAGCAGUUCCAACACGUCUAUAAGAACGUCAGGUUCAUCGGGAUGGCAUAAUCUAUUGUUAAUCAACGGGCUUUACCUCCCUUAUUUUAUAUGAUUUUUUUUCGACACCUAAUUAUUGUGUAAACAGUGAUGAAGAUAUCGAAUUCACCUAUAUAUACAUUCCAUACCCAUACCCAUACACAGACCAACUCUGGACAGCCAUCAUGGCCGCCACCCACAUCGCCCUGUUUGCCUCCGGCCUCGCCGUCUUGCUUCUCCUGGUCCAAGGGUCGCCGCCAGGGCCCGUUGUUCAGUGCCGGUCCGGCAACACUAACUGCACCGUGACCAACGGCUAUGGAGCCUUUCCGGAUCGCAGCACCUGCCGCGUCGCCGCGGUCGCGUACCCUUCGACCGAAGAGGAGCUGCGGUUAGUUGUCUCCGACGCGACCGAGAAGCAGCAGCACAUGAAGGUGGUCACAAUGUACUCCCACAGCAUUCCCAAGCUGUCGUGCCCCGGCGGGCCGAGCGGCCAGGGCCUGGUCAUUAGCACCCAGCGCCUCGGCAGAUCGGUGAGCGUGGACAUGGCCACAUCGCGGAUGACAUUCGAGGCAGGGAUCACACUUAGGGCGCUCCUUGACGCGGCGGCCGCCCGUGGCCUGGCGCUAUCCCACUCGCCGUACUGGCAAGGGAUGACGCUCGGCGGGCUGCUGAGCACCGGCUCGCAUGGGAGCUCGGCGUUCGGGAAGGGCUCGGCGGUGCACGAAUAUGUGGUAGGGAUGAGGCUGGUAGUUCCAAGUCCGGUCCCGGUGAACGGAUACUACGCCAAGAUCGUUAAUCUUGGUGAGGAUGAUCCUGAUCUCUUGGCUGCCAAGGUUUCUCUCGGUGUUCUUGGAGUCAUUUCUCAGGUAUGUGUGUGGUGACCUACGUGUUGUUCUUUACACGAUUUGAGAUCCAUGUGAUAACUCAUCUUAGUUCUUCAUCGUGGUUCUUCCAACCACGUCAAGUACUUUCAGAAGCUGAGUGUACAUGACUUGCCACGUCUCGAUGCUAAUUAGGUGCAACUAUAUCUUUAAUUCUUCAUGAUAUAGUAGAGAUCAUCCUACUGUUAUUAGCAAGGCUGAAUACUUCCUAUCGUCAGCAAAAUGUCGAGACAGAAAAAAAAAACUUGUUUUCUAUCAAAUCACUUUACAAAGGAAGACUUGUUCUUUUCCUCGAAUCUAGAAAGUUACGUAAAUAAUAGGCUGUUGAUGAUCCCAGUGGACUUUACUUUUAAUCUUUCCUUCUUUUCUUGCUUUGCUUGUCUUCCUUGUUUCAAAAUGGGCUGAUGCAAACCUUUGAUCCGUUCUAAUGAUUCCAUGUACCUUCCCUCGUCGUUUAUCGUAACUACACAACAUAAUUGAGUGUUAUGGAAUAUAACCCACAUAGACAAAGAUCAGAGAAAAAGCAAACUUUGCAAAUAACAGCUACAGUGAUGUUGAUGAUGACUCUGUGUAAACGAGAGUGCCCCUUGUUGAUCUUGAUAGGAAGAAGGGAUAGAGUUAUCAAACAGUGGAAUAGUAAGACAAGCUUCAAUCUUCUAUAUUUUUCUCAAAAAAACUCUUUAUAAUUUCAAAAACUCUAUCUAUUUCAUGACCUAUGGGGUUUAUAUAGUCCCGAAAGAUAUAUUACAUUAAUUGUAUUCAAGAUAAAUAAUUUUUUUUCAAAAAAUUCGUUCAAAAAUCAAUAACCAUUUGGACUUAUUCUUCCAUAGACUUUAAUCUAUUUCUUCGUAAUGAAUCUUCUGCAAUGAAUAUUUCUUUUGAGGAAAUGAAUCUCUUUAUAACAUUUGAAAAAGUUUAAUUCCAGAAGAGACAGGCAGGUCCAUGCUGCCUUGCCUUGCAGAGCUUACGACCGGACCCGAUAAUUGCCUUAAAAGCCUCAGUAACAAUUAUUAGGUUGAAGGACGAUAGGGGAUGUCAGUAGUAGUAGUUCUUGUUUCAAUCUUGUUGCCGGAAUAGCUGAAAAGAGUUGACUUGCAAUACAUGUAAGCUUUUGUUCUGCUGCUUCGUUAUAGGUAACCUAAGAAUUACUUGAACCGAUCGCGCAGGUCACCCUCCAACUUGAGCCAAUGUUCAAGCGAUCCAUCACCAACAGGGUCGUAAGCGACGUUGGCUUCGAGCAAACCAUCUCCUCGUACGCUGUCACUACAUACUAUGGAGACAUCAGCUGGUAUCCGUCACAACGCAGAGUGGUGUACCGAGAUGAUAUCAAGGUCCCCAUCACCACCAAGGGAAAGGGUGUAAACGACUACUUAGGGUUCCGAGCGCAGCCCACACUUGUCGGAGCCUCUCUACGUGCUUCAGGUCUUAUAAAUUGAAGCUUUUAUUUUGCUUGUCAAACUUAAUGUAGUGUUCGAGCAGUAUUAUGCACACAUUUACGUCGACAUUUCGUCCGAGAUUUAUACUGAGAAGGCAUCUUAUGUUCUCUACCAUGUGUUUGUGUCAAUGACUGCAGAGGAACGAGUGGAGGCAACGGGAAAUGCGGAAGGCAAAUGUGUGCUGUUCAGAUUGCAAGUUGAUACUUUGAUUGCGACCGGCAUGGGCUUUAAGAACAAUGACGGCGGCUUGAUAGAAUUCACUGGCUAUCCGGUCAUUGGAAACCAAAGCGACAUGCAAUCCGCCGGUAGGUUCUCAAAUUAUCCGAGGAAUGUCUGCAUGUAUGAAUGAUAGCUCUUGAUGAUAAUGCUUCAUCACAAUAAUGACACAUGUAACGCCCGGAUUUAUUUACUCUGAGUCAUCUUCUUUCCAGGUUCUUGCCUAAGGAGUCCAGAAGACAACCUUCUUACAGCCUGUGGCUGGGACCCUCGUUUUGCGGGGUUCUUCUACCACCAAACCACGAUAAGCAUCCCCUUCACCACCAUCUCUGACUUCAUCGCCGACGUCAAGAAGCUCCGCGACGCCCAUCCCGACGCACUCUGCAGCACCGAGCUGUACUUGGGCUUCUUGAUCCGCUUCGUCCGCAACUCCACAGCUUAUCUUGGCAAAACCGACGACGUGGUGGCCAUUGACAUCACAUACUAUCGUUCCAAGGAUCCAAAACAGCCGCGACUAUAUGAGGAUGUGUUCGAGGAGAUCGAACAGAUGGCCUUGUUCAAGUACAACGGGCUGCCGCACUGGGGGAAGAACAGAAAUGUCGGCUUCCUCAAUGUCAAGAACAAGUUGGGGGCUAAGUUGGCCAAGUUUGUGAGUGUGAUGCAGAAGUAUGACAGCAAUGGAUUGUUCUCUUCAGACUGGACCGAUGCGGUGCUGGGACUGCGAGGGAAGGAAGUUGUGGUGCAGGGAGAUGGUUGUGCAAUGGAGGGGCUGUGCAUUUGCUCCACCGAUGACCACUGCGCUCCUAAACUAGGCUAUUAUUGUCGACCUGGGGAAGUCUAUGAGCAGGCUCGAGUUUGCCGGAAGAUAAAAUCCGUGGAAGCUGAUGGUUUGGCAUGGAGCGCAUGAUACCAUUCACAUUCAUUUGCUGUGAGGUUUAUUUCUGUGUCACUUCCUCUUCGAAUAAAGGAUGAAAUGUCAGUCAAUAAUUACUACAUAGUUUAUUAUUGUGAUAUUAAAGCAAGCGUCGAUAAAUGCAAUAUUGUAUGGGACGCAGAUUACAUUCCUCCCGAUUUAUCUGUACAACUCCAAGAUGACUUAUACAAGUCAUUCUAUAGAACUAUAAUGUCUUAAUAAAUUUUUUUUGGGAAAAAAAUUAGGACAUAAUUUCUCAUUAUUUUUCAUAGCAAGAUCCCAUUUUGAAGGAAACGAACGCUCUCCAGUAUCCUUUGCAUGAAAGGAACGAGGAAGCAAGAAAUAAUUGUGCCAUUCUUAACGCCAUCGUGUGGAGAGAGAUAGUAUGUUAACGCGAUAUUCUUCGCUAUCAUUUCUUAAAAUAAUAAUGAUGAUUAAUGAUAAUAACCUGCGACUCACGUAAAUGUUCUGAUUAAUUUUACAUUAAUUACGCUUGACCCACGUUUCGUGACACAAAUGAAAUGGUAGUUCACACCGAUUACAUUUCAAAUUUUUGACUCAAAGCUCGUCCUAUGGAUCGCGAGAAUAAACCAUAUGGUAAGAAGCUACAUAAAUAUGGAAAUCACAAAGGAGGGUGAUUACUGUAAUUAACCCUUCCUCGAUGCCCCCAACUCCAAGAAACUACUGCUCUCUCUAGGUAACUCUACGGCGCAGCAUCCAAUCUUAUGUUUUUUCCUUUCUCAUCCUCGCAGUAUAAUUUAGAGAUAGCAAGUGGUCGCACCAUGAUCGAGGGAAACAGCAGCGAGAGCAAGCUGAGCCAGUACAUCAGGCCCCCGACCGGGAGCUGCGGCAUGCCCCGGACUUGUACGAUAGCAGCAUGGCCGGGAUCGCCGGCAAGGCGCAGUGUGGCACCGUCAUCGCGCUGUCUUCGCGCCUAUGGCUUUGGGCUGUGCUCGCGGACGAGCAGCAGCGAGGAAGAGAUCAACGACCUCAUCGGCGCCGUUUGCAAGAGCAAGAUGCGGGCCAUCCCGGUGGAGGAUGGGACGCCGGUGCCGAGGAGCCACAGUGUGGCGACGUUGAGGAUAGACGAAGACAAGCCGUGUGACUUCGAGGACGACCUCACGGUGGCCCUGGGGCCAAGGAGCUGUGGCUACGAUGUUGCCACCGAGAGGAAGGUGGGCUUCUAAUAAGCUUCAAGUUAGCUUGUGCGGUGAUCUAACACGAACAGUAAACAUCCGAGCUUAUAUAUUGUACUGCUUUCGAGGGAGGAAAUAAGCAAUUCGUUGAGCCGUUGUCAUUCUUUGGGAACCAAAACUUAUUAGGAGAUAAAUCGAAUAGUAGAUAUUCGUCGCUUCUUUUAUGAAGCCUUGUUGUAUUUUACCUACUCACCACGUCUUGUGAUAAUCUCAUGUAAUAUCUACACAAAAUAACUAAGUUUUAGAUCGGGCAUGACAUCCUCAAGGAAUGAUUUUUUAAUAGACUACAGUGUUUAUUUAUGUGAGGAUUUGGCAUGCUUUUUUCAUCUUAAAAAAGGAAAUGUUAAAUUUCUAAGAAAAACCUCCUAACUUUAAGAAUUUAUCAAAUAACCCUCCAAUCUUGAGAAAUUUUUAUAGAGUAUUUCUUUUUCUUAAAUGAUCAUUCUACCCAUAUUGAUUGUCGCCUUUACCCUUGCAUUGUUAUUGCUGUGCUUGCCGGUGGCCUUCGCACAAGGAAGGAAGGGGUGCAAGAGUUGUCAUCUCCUUCCUGCACCACCUCCCCUCCCUUCUGCAUGCUGGACUUAUUGCUUACAGGCCUCACGCGAGGAAGGAGAAGGUACGAGGGCUAUUAUCACCUUUGCAGACCUCACUAACCCUACACUAACGCCUUGCUCACAACCCUCGCAUGAGAAAGGAGAGGACGUGAGGGCUGGGAUAGUAAUUCAAAUCCAAUCAAGGUCUAUUCCAAAUCAGUCACUAUUUGUAAUGCACUAAAUUUGUAAAACUAGGUUGAGGGGCAUUCUUGACAAAUAUUCCUUCAACGGCGAAUUGAAUUUUUAGGUUUGGACUAGUCGAUGAAGUGAAGUCAUAUCUUAGGAGUACAUGGGAGCCCUUUUUAUGAGUGAUACUAAGGAUGAUUAUUCCUAGAAUCACCGAUCGCAUAGGCCAGCCAUGUCAACCACGGGUUCAGAUGAUUGAUUAUCUGGUCAUGUAUCACCCCUUUAUGAGUAUAUGUCUUACGACCUGAUCAUCAUUUGUCUAUCGCGUGUGAUCCUCAUGCUCUUUGGCAAUCGAUCAGUUGGCUCAUUGGUCAUCGGCAAUGUUGUAUUUGACAUGUCACUUGUCACCUAUCACUUGCCCCCAACUUCUAGGUUGAUAGAUUGUAGGGCUAUCGAGUUAAGAAGUGCUCUAGCUUAUGCUUUUAACACUGAUAGUGGAUUUGUUCGUCAUCUUUUUGACAUAUGUCAUAGAAAUGCAUGUUCUGUCCGUUAAAGCUAUUCUAUCCAUUUAGUAUGUUUAACGCAUUCGGUUCAUUUAACCCGUUCUAUUCAUUAGUUGCUCUCCCUCUAACAUACAUUCCUUAAUAUAUCUUGGUUGCUCUCCCUCUAACAUAUCAGUAUAAAUUUUAGUUGUUUGAGUUGAGAUGAUAACUUAGAUCUAUCUGACGUUCAUUCCAAGUUAGUCUAACUCUAGAAAACCUACAAAUGCCCUAUCGUCGAUCAAGUCAGACUUGUCAGCCAAUACUAAAGUCAAGUCGGGUCCUGGAAGUGUACAUAAGAGUCUCUUUUAUUAGUAACUCUAAGAAUGGUUAUGUCUGGAAUCAUUGAUGGUAAGAGGGGAAUAUGUGCCACAUUCAAGCUGAGACUUGGCAUUCGUACAAGUAAAUGGUUGAUGUGAUCCGGGAGAGAGCAAGGCAUGUAAAUGAUUCAUAACAAGGGAACGUCUCUUACAAGUUCUCCAUUGACAGGUUCUUCCGACUUAGAAUUGGUCUAAUGUUUUCCGGCUUCUCCGUACCUCAGGAAAUGUUGGGUCUAGCCCAUACGUCAGCUUGGACUAGAUAAUUAAAUUUUUGAGCUCAAAUCAAUAAUUAAAAAAAAAAACUGCCUAUAGCGUUUUGACAAGCGAACGAUGGCGACGCACAGUCAAAUUAACAUAGAAAGAGAAAAGAGAAAAAAAAUAAGAUUUUGAGUUUUUCUUAGUUAACGAUCAGAGUCAAACUUGGAUCCAAAUUAUACAUGAAAAAUCUUUACAGUAGCCAGCUCUACAAUCCGCUGAUUUGUAGUUUACCCUUUAUGAGGUAUUUUCCAACUAUACUCAUUUUGUGAGACAAAAUUCUUUUUUUGAUGAGAUUCAUUCAUGUGAUGAUGAUAUACUAUUCUUGAGUCAAGAUAUGUGAUUUUGAUGUUAUUAUGGUUCUCUUGUUAUUUUAAAGAAGACUUAUUGUAAACCUAUAAUUAUUAUUAGUGAUAGUGGAAGCUUGAAGUGGACUACGAUCCCUAUUAUUAUUAUUAGUGAUAGUGGAAGCUUGAGGAGGACUACGGUACGUGGUUUUUUCCGCAUUAGGUUUUUCACGUUAAUAUUUGGUCUUACUUUGUGAUUGAUUCAUUGUUUUGUUAUUUAUGUUGUUCUGGUUUAUAUGUACUUUUGAUAUCAAGCUGGUUUUUGAUGAGAAACUUAUUUUAAUAGACAAAAAGAAAAAAAAUUAUUUUAUUUUAAUAGGUUUUUCCCAACAAGAAAUUGAGUGAAGAACUCUAUUUAACCGACUUCAAGUCGGCACGACCCUCUUCGCAUCCAAUGUUAGUGUAGCGCUAUGACCUAGGAAGAAGAAGAGGGAACAAGCUGAUGCGGUACAUCAAGGCCUCUCAUCGAGCACUGCUACGUGCCCGGGACUUGUACGUGAACAGCAUGGCUGGAUGCGCCAGAAGGGCCCAGGGCGAGCCGACGAUCAUCGCGAUGCCGCACGCCCAGAGCCACAUAUAUACACACACAAACGCGCACACACAAUAAAAGUAAUAUAAUUAUUGAUGCCCAUGCAAAAAGAUUUUAUAUCAUUUUUAUUUAAUUCGCUCACGUGGAUCAAUCGAGUUGUCCAUGUGUUAUUAUCCAUUAACUUGCUUUUAUCUAUUAUAUAAUAACGAUUGGAUCAUGAGCUGGCUUUCUCAUCUGCGUGCCAAUCCAAACGCUUCUAUACUGUGCCAUCGACGACUUCAAUAUCUUUGAUUUGCUCACAUCUCAAAGCCAAAAAAAAGGAAAAAUGAUGAGUACCUACAGUAUAUGACAAUUAGUUAGACCGAUUCUUCUAAAUUUUCUGAUCCCAUCGUGAGGCGUGCAUGACCAGCGUACUUUCCCCACUGUAUUUUACUCGACCAUCACUAACCUCACCGCUAUUAUAGAAAUAGUAUGUCAACACGAUCUUGGCUGUCAUCANNNNNNNNNNNNNNNNNNNNUUUUCUUACAAUAAUAAUAAUGAUAAGAACCUUGCGUCCCAAGUUGGCUCACGUGAUUGAAAUAAAUGACUCGAAUUGGGAACAAUACCCAUAUGCAGAUUCAUUGGGAUGGCAGAAUCUCUUGUUAAGUCAACGGGCUUUACCUCCCUUAUUUUAUAUGAAUUUUUUUCUGACACCUAAUAAUUUUGUAAACAGUGAUCAAGAUAUCGAAUUCACAUUCUCCUAUAUACACAUUACAUACCCAUAUGCAGACCAACUCUGGACAGUCAUCAUGGCCGCCACCUACUUUGCCCUAUUCGCCUCCGGCCUCGCCGUCUUGCUUCUACUAGUCCAAGGAUCGCCGCCAGGGCCCGUUGUCCAGUGCCGGUCCGGCAACACUAACUGCACCGUGACCAACGGCUAUGGAGCCUUUCCUGAUCGCAGCACCUGCUGCGUCGCCGCGGUCGCGUACCCUUCCACCGAACUGGAGCUCCUGUUAGCUGUCUCCGACGCCACCGAGAAGCAGCAGCACAUGAAGGCUGUCACGAUGUACUCCCACAGCAUCCCCAAGCUGUCGUGCCCCGGAGGGCCGAGCGGCCAGGGCCUGGUCAUUAGCACCCAGCGCCUCAACCGAUCGGUGAGCGUGGACAUGGCCACCUCGCGGAUGACGUUCGAAGCAGGGAUCACACUUAGGGAGCUCCUUGACGCGGCGGCCGCCCGUGGCCUGGCGCUACCCCACUCGCCGUACUGGCAAGGGAUGACGCUCGGCGGCCUGCUGAGCACCGGCUCCCAUGGGAGCUCGGUGUUCGGGAAGGGCUCGGCGGUGCACGAAUAUGUGGUAGGGAUGAGGCUGGUGGUUCCAAGUCCGGCCCCGGUGAACGGAUACUACGCCAAGAUCGUUAAUCUUGGUGAGGAUGAUCCUGAUCUCUUGGCUGCCAAGGUUUCUCUCGGUGUUCUUGGAGUCAUUUCUCAGGUAUGUGUGUGGUGACCUACGUGUUAUUCUUUGUUCUUUACACGGAUUGAGAUCCAUGUGAUAACUCAUCUUAGUUCUUCAUGGUGGUUCUUCCAACCACGUCAAGUACUUUCAUAAGCUGAGUGUACAAGAUUUGCCACGUUUCGAUGCUAAUUAGGUGCAACUAUAUCUUUAAUUCUUCAUGAUAUAAUAGAGAUCAUCCUACUGUUAUUAGCAACGCUGAAUACAUCCUAUCGUCAGUAAAAUGUCGAGACAGAAAAAAAAAACUUGAUUUCUAUCAAAUCACUUUACAAAGGAAGACUUGUUCUUUUCCUUGAAUCUAGAAAGUUACGUAAAUAAUAGGCUUUUGAUGAUCGCAGUGGACUUUACUUUUAAUCUUUCCUUCUUUUCUUGCUUUGCUUGUCUUCCUUGUUUCAAAAUGGGCUGAUGCAAACCUUUGAACCGUUCUAAUGAUUCCAUGUACCUUCCCUCGUCGUUUAUCGUAACUACACAACAUACUUGAGUGUUAUGGAACAUAUGAGCACAUGCAAACCCACAGAGACAAAGAUCAGAGAAAAAGCAACCAUUGCAAUAACAGCUACAGUGACGUUGAUGAUGACUCGGUGUAAAUGAGAGUGCCCCUUCCUUCACAUAUGGAGCCUCGAGCAGGGCAAGAGGCAGGCAGGUCCAUGCUGCCUUGCCUUGCAGAGCUUACGACCGGGCCCACUAAUUGCCUUAAAAGCCUCAGUAACAAUUAUUAGGUUGAAGGACGAUAGGGGAUGUCAGUAGUUGUAGUUCUUGUUUCAAUCUUUUUGCCUGAAUAGCUGAAAAGAGUUGACUAGCGAUACAUGUAAGCUUUUGUUCUUCUGCUUCAUUAUAAGUAACCUAAGAAUUACUUGAACCGAUCGAGCAGGUCACCCUCCAACUUGAGCCAAUGUUCAAGCGAUCCAUCACCAACAGGGUCGUAAGCGACGUUGGCUUCGAGCAAACCAUCUCCUCGUACGCUGUCACUACAUACUAUGGAGACAUCAGCUGGUAUCCGUCACAACGCAGAGUGGUGUACCGAGAUGAUAUCAAGGUCCCCAUCACCACCGAAGGAAAGGGUGUAAACGACUACUUAGGGUUCCGAGCGCAGCCCACCCACGUCGGAGCCUCUCUACGUGCUUCAGGUCUUAUAAAUUGCAGCUUUUAUUUUGCUUGUCAAACUUAAUGUAGUGUUCGAGCAGUAUUAUGCACACAUUUACAUCGACAUUUCGUCCGAGAUUUGUACUAAGAAGGCUUCUUUUGUCCUCUACCAUGUGUUUGUGUCUGUGAAUGCAGAGGAACGAGUGGAGGCAACGGGAAAUGCGGAAGGCAAAUGUGUGCUGUUCAGAUUGCAAGUUGAUACUUUGAUUGCGACCGGCAUGGGCCUUAAGAACAAUGACGGCGGCUUGUUAGAAUUCACCGGCUAUCCGGUCGUUGGAAACCAAAGCGACAUGCAAUCCUCCGGUAGGUCCUCCAAUUAUCCGAAGAAUGUAUAUGAUGACACAUGUUACACCUGUAUUAUAUAUUAUAUGGUCUGAGCCAAAUUCACUCCUGUAUUCUGUAUUAGUCUGAACCAUCUUCUCUCCAGGUUCGUGCCUAAGAAGUGCAGAAGACAACCUUCUCACGGCCUGUGGAUGGGACCCUCGCUUUGCUGGGUCCUUCUACCACGAAACCGCGAUAAGUAUCCCCUUCACCACCGUUGCAGACUUCAUCGCCGACGUCAAGAAGCUCCGCGACGCCCACCCCAACUCGCUCUGCGGCACCGAGCUGUCCUUGGGCUUCUUCAUUCGCUUCCUCCGCAACUCCACGGCCUAUCUUGGCAAAACGGACGACGUGGUGGAGAUCGACAUCACAUACUACCGUUCCAGGGAUCCAAAACGGCCGCGACUCUAUGAGGAUGUGCUCGAGGAGAUCGAACAGAUGGCCUUGUUCAAGUACAAUGGGCUGCCGCACUGGGGGAAGAACAGAAAUGUCGGCUUCCUCAAUGUCAAGAACAAGCUGGGGGCUAAGUUGGCCAAGUUUGUGAGUGUGAUGCAGAAGUAUGACAGCAAUGGAUUGUUCUCUUCAGACUGGACCGAUGCGGUGCUGGGACUGCGAGGGAAGGAAGUUGUGGUGCAGGGAGAUGGAUGUGCACUGGAGGGGCUGUGCAUUUGCUCCACUGACGACCACUGCGCUCCUAAACUAGGCUAUUUUUGUCGACCUGGAGAAGUCUAUGAACAGGCUCGAGUUUGCCGGAAGAUAAAAUCCGUGGAAGCUGAUGGUUUGGCAUGGAGCGCAUGAUACCAUUCACAUUCAUUUGCUGUGCGGUUUAUUUCUGUGUCACUUCCUCUUCGAAUAAAGGUUGUAAUGUCAGUCAAUAAUUACUACAUAGUUUAAUGAUGAUUAAUGAUAAUAACCUGCGACACACGUAAAUGUUCUGAUUAAUUUUACAUAAAUUACACUUGACCCACGUUUCGUGACACAAAUGACAUGGUAGUUCACACCGAAACUACUGCUCUCUAUAAAUUACUCAACGGCGCAGCAUCCAAUCUUCUGUUUGUUCCUUUCUCAUCCUCGCAGUAUAAUUUGGAGAUAGGAAGUGGUCGCACCAUGAGCGAGGGAAACAGCAGCGAGAGCAAGCUGACCCCGUACAUCAGGCCCCCGACCGGGCCGCUGUGGCAUGCCCGGGACUUGUACGAGAGCAGCAAGGCGCAGAGUGGCACCGUCAUCGCGCUGUCUCGCGCCUAUGGCUUUGGGCAGUGCUCGCGGACGAGCAGCAGCGAGGAAGAGAUCAACGACCUCAUCGGCGCCGCUUGCAAGAGCAUGAUGCGGGCCAUCCUGGUGAAGGAGGAUGGGCUGGUGCCAAGGAGCCACCGAGUGGCGACGUUGAGGAUAGACGAUGACAAGCCGUGUGACUUCGAGGACGACCAAGAGGAACGAUGCCAAGGAGCUGUAGCUACGAUGUUGCCACCAAGAGGAACGUGGGCUUCUAAUAAGCUUCAAGUUAGAUUGUGCGGUGAUCAACACGAACAGUAAACAUCCGAGCUUAUAUAUUGUACUGCUUUCGAGGGAGGAAAUAAGCAUUUCGUUGAGCCGUUGUCAUUCUUUUGGAACCAAAACUUAUUAGGAGAGAAAUCGAAUAGUGAAUACAGAAGAAGAUAUUCUUCACUUCUUUUGUGAAGCUUUGUUGUAUUUUACCUACUCACCAUGUAUUUUACACAAAAUAACUAGUUUUAGAUCGGGCAUGACAUCCUGAAGGAAUGAUUGUUUAAUAGACUACAAUGUUUAUUUAUGCGAGGAUUUGGCAUGCUUUUCUCAUCUUAAAAAAAGGAAAUGUUAAAUUUCUAAAAAAAGACCUCCUAACUUUAAAUUAUCAAAUAACGCUCUGAGAAAUUUUUUUAGAGUAUUUUUUUCUUAAACAAUCAUUCUAUCCAUUGUCAACUCUAUCCAUGCAUUGUUAUUAUUGUAUUUACAUGUGGCCCUCGCAUAAGGAAGGAAGGGGUGCAAGAGUUGUCACCUCCUUCCUGCACCACCUCUCCUCCUCUUGUCAUGCUGGAUUUGUUACUUAUAGGCCUCACUCGAGGAAAGAGAGGGUACGAGAGCCAUUGCCACUUAUGCGGACCCCACCAACUCUAUCCUAGCGCCUCGAUCACAACUUUCAUAUGAGAAAGGAGGGGACGUGAGGGCCGUCAUCGUUUCUGUGGACCUUACUAGCCCUAGGACCUUGCUAGACUCUAUUGGACUUGUUGCCCGUAGCCCUUACACAAGGAAAGAAGGGUUGUGAGGGUCGACGCCACCACCAUCUUCACAGACCACUACGACCCUGCUUAUAUGCACUUCACUCGUAACCCUUGUGCAAGGAAGAAGGUGGCACAUGUGCUAUCGUUGCCUUUGUGGAACCUAUUAGUCUCCGUCAAACCUGUUGUCACUCUGCACCACCCCCCCUUUCCUCGCACGAGGGCCAUAGUGUGCAAGGGUUGUGAGUGACAGAUUAUAUGAAGUAGAGGAGAGGAUAGGUAGUGCAUGGAGUAAGGGCACAAGUGAUUAUAGAGGGAGGAGGAGAUAACUAUAGGUCUAAUAGAAAUAGAGAUAAAAUAAUAUUUUUAUAUAAUCAAGAUACUCUAUGAAUUUCUUAAAGUUAAAAGGCUCUGUAAAAAAUUCAUAAUGUUAAAUCUAAAAAAAAAAUAAGGAUUUGACGUGCGUCCGACAAGCCUCCUUCCUGGAGAGGAUCAACACACAGCUAGUUAGUAGGGGAUUCAGUAACUUUCCUUUUUUUUUCCCUUUAAAAAUAUGAAGUUUCAUAACUUAUCAAAAAGAGGUCCAAAUUGUACAUUUAUACCAAUAAAUUUGAAUACUACAAGUUUUUCUCUUGCAACUAAUACACACACAUAUACUACAGUUUUGCCCCAUACAAAUCGAAUAACAAUGAGUAUAGUUUUGACCCUUCCAUGUAUAGAAAUUAAAUAAAAAUUAGUUUGAUUCAAUUCAAAGAGUUAAGUUUCUAUAUUGUGGACCAAAUUAAGUAUAUAUAAUCAGACUCUUUUAAUUCUUAAUUAUACUAGAUUAUCCUCUUAGUUUAUUUUAUUUCAAUUUAGACAUGAAUAUUUUCAUUACAAUGUGAAUAAUAAAAAUAUCUUAAAAGUGAAGUCAUAUUUGGUUCUUUAUUAGACCUUACUUUUCAACUUUUGUAACGAUCCAACCAAUGACCUCAUUAUUGGCCAUGAAUGAAAUCUUGAAUUCUAAUUUUUAAGUAAAAUGUAACUUAUGAUAUUUUAGAUUAAUACAAGUUAACAAUUAUUAACUAUCAUUAGUUAUGAUUGAUUAAAAAUUGAAAUGUAGUAAUAGAAUAUGAUAUUACAAAAUGUUCACAUCAUAUUUCUUUCUUAAAAAAUAAUCUUGUUUAUACCAAACUCGAAUUCAAAAUCUCAUCUGAUAUAUUUUGAAGAUAUCAUCUAAUUUAGUUGGUGUUAGUGUAGAUUUUGAUUAUAUGAGCUAGGAUAAUUCUUCAAAUUGAAUCAAAGUCUAUUCCAAACCAAUCUCACUUCACAUCACUAUUAAUAAAGCACCAAACUUGUAAAACUAGGUCAAGAGGUAUUCUUGACAAAUAUUCCUUCAAUAAUCAAUUGAAUUCUUAGGUUUGGACUGGCUGAUGAAUAUUGAAGUGAAAUCAUAUCUUAAGAGUACAUGAGAGUCCUUUUUAUGGGUGAUACUAAGGAUGAUUAUUCCUAGAAUCACCGAUCACUUAGGCUAGUCGAUCACGAGUUCAAAUUAUCUAUCAUUUGGCCACAUAUCACCCCUUUAUGAGUAUAUAUCUUACUACCUGACCAUCAUCUGUCAAACGCGUGUGAUCCCCAUGCUCUUUGAUAAUCGACCCAUUGGCUUCUUGGCCACGUGUCGCAUUGUGGCAAUGUUGUAUUUGACAUGUCACUUGUCACCUAUCACUAGCCCCCCAUUUCUAAGUUGAUAGAUUAUAGGGCUAUAGAGCUAAGAAGUGCUCUGGCCUAUGAUUUUUACACUGAUAGCGAGUUUGUUCAUCAUCGUUUUGACAUAUGUCAUUGGAAUGCAUGUUGUGUCCAUUAAAGCUAUUCUAUCCAUUCAGUGUGUUUGACGCAUUCAGUCCAUUUGACCCAUUCCGUUGGUUAGGGUCGUUCAGCUCGUUCAAUCAAUUUGACAUGUUAGGCUUUUUAGGAUUUAACCUAGAUGGUACCACGAAGUUUUCUUAAGAUAUCUUAGUUGCCCUCUCUCUAACGCUAAUAUAUUAGUAUAAAUUUUAAUUGUCUGAAUUGAGAUGAUAACUUAGAUCCAACUGAGAUUCAUUGCAAGUUAGUCUUACUCUAGGAAACCUACAAAUGCCCCAUCGUAGAUCAAGUCAGACUUGUUGGCCAAUAAUAAAGUCAAGUUGGAUCCUCGAAGUGUACCUAGAGUCCCUUUUAUUAGUAACUCUGAGAAUGAUUAUGUCCGGAAUCAUUGAUGGUAAGAGAGGAAUAUGUGCCACAUUCAGACUGAGACUUGGCAUGAUAUUCAUCGAACCUUGUGUUCACAUAGGUUGGUUGUGCUAAUCAUGGGUUUGGACGAUCGACUAUUCAUCCACGUAUUAUCUCAUGCUGAGUGUGCAUCUCAUGAUUCCAUCAUCACCUAUCUAUCACAUAUGAUCCUCAUGCUCUUUGGUUGUCAACCUUGUGGCCAUGUGUCACUACACGGUGAUGUUAUAUUCGAUAUAUUACUCUUUAUGCUGAAAAAAAAUUUGAUAGUUGAUCACUAGACUCAAAAUUCUACAUUCGUUAGUGGUGCGUUGGCCAUGUCUCGCCGCAUGAUAGUGUUAUAUUCAAUGUCACACCCUUCACCUGUCAGAUAAAGACUUUAAUAGUUCCUCCCAAAAUUUUAGACUUAAAUUCCACAUUAAUCACUUAUUCUCAAAAAAAAAAUCUGGUUAAGAUCGCAACCACUGCUUCGGUUACAAUUAUCCCUUCUAUUUUUAUAACAGAACAAAUAGGGUAAACAGUGUGCGAGUCGAUCAGUCGGUGGACUGCCUUCAUUCCACCGACUUACACCAUCAUGAGAUCCUCUUAAUUUUCAAAUUAUAAUAAUUAUAAUUUAAAAAAUAUGAAUAACAUUAAAUAAAAAUAAACAAAAAAAUCAGCCAUAACGCGUAAAGGUCAAAGUCAAAGUACCCAUGACCCAUGGACUGGGACACGUGGAGGCAAGAAAGCAUCACAACAGACUCGAGAACGAGCCCACUCGAUUGGACCAUUCAGGGCGGGAUUAAUUGAAAGAAACAACGAGCGAGACAGUCAGCAGGUCCACUAAACUGGAAGCAUUCUUCAUGCUUUGAAAUCAAAACAUGAGUCUAACAUGAUCAACCAAAUUGGACUCAACACUUGUGAUCGAGAAGAAUAGGGUGCCGCCAUGUUCGUACAAGUAAAUGGUUGAUGUGAUCCGGGAGAGAGCAAGGCAUAUAAAUGCUUCAUAACAAGGGAACGUCUCUUACAAGUUCUCCAUUGACAGGUUCUCUUCCUGCUUAGAAUUGGUCCAAUGUUUUCCGGCUUCCACAUACCUCAGGAAAUUGAGUAAAGAACUCUAUUUAAGCGACUUCAAGUCGGCACGACUCUCUUCGCAUCCAAUGUUAAUGUAGCGCUAUGAGCAAGGGAAGCAGAAGAGGGAACAAGCUGAUGCGGUACAUCAAGGCCCCUUAUCGAGCACUGCUUCGUGCCCGGGACUUGUACGUGAACAGCAUGGCCGGAUGCGCCGGCAGGGCCCAGCGCGGGCCGACGAUCAUCGCGAUGCCACGCGCCCAGAGCCGCAGCUUCCACCGCCCGCAAAUGAGCAGCGGCGAGGACGACAUCAACGAGCUCAUCCGCGCUGCGUCGAGGAGCAGGCUGCGGUCCGUCGAGGGAGCGGCGGUUCCGAGGAGUCACAGCGUGGCGGGGAUGACGAUUGACGAGGACAAGCCAUGCAACUUUGAGGGCGACGUCAAGGUGGCCUUGGGCCCGAGGAGCCGGAGCUGCGACGUCGUCUCCAAGAGGAGGGCGGGGUUUACAACAAACGCCGUAAGCAGCAUCCGAAGCUUCUAAUACCAAGAGUGGAAGCACCAAAUGCAGCAAUUCCAUGUCGUUGUGGUUUCUAUUACUCGUGUUCGUGAACUCGAUUCGAUACUUUCUCUCCUCUUCUUCUCCUGUCAUGUUUCUGUUCACUCGUGAAUGUUUGGGCUGCCUGCUUACCUCAUUCCAUCUACACGAACGGAAUGUUCAUAUGGCAUCUCGGUAUCAUUUCCCUCAAAAUUUGAGCCUACAUUUGAAGCAUUUUCAUUAUAUAUAUAUAUAUAUAUAUAUAUAUAUAUAUAUAUAUAUAUAUAUAUAUAUAUAUANNNNNNNNNNNNNNNNNNNNNNNNNNNNNNNNNNNNNNNNNNNNNNNNNNNNNNNNNNNNNNNNNNNNNNNNNNNNNNNNNNNNNNNNNNNNNNNNNNNNNNNNNNNNNNNNNNNNNNNNNNNNNNNNNNNNNNNNNNNNNNNNNNNNNNNNNNNNNNNNNNNNNNNNNNNNNNNNNNNNNNNNNNNNNNNNNNNNNNNNNNNNNNNNNNNNNNNNNNNNNNNNNNNNNNNNNNNNNNNNNNNNNNNNNNNNNNNNNNNNNNNNNNNNNNNNNNNNNNNNNNNNNNNNNNNNNNNNNNNNNNNNNNNNNNNNNNNNNNNNNNNNNNNNNNNNNNNNNNNNNNNNNNNNNNNNNNNNNNNNNNNNNNNNNNNNNNNNNNNNNNNNNNNNNNNNNNNNNNNNNNNNNNNNNNNNNNNNNNNNNNNNNNNNNNNNNNNNNNNNNNNNNNNNNNNNNNNNNNNNNNNNNNNNNNNNNNNNNNNNNNNNNNNNNNNNNNNNNNNNNNNNNNNNNNNNNNNNNNNNNNNNNNNNNNNNNNNNNNNNNNNNNNNNNNNNNNNNNNNNNNNNNNNNNNNNNNNNNNNNNUUUCCUUACAAUAAUAAUAAUGAUAAGAACCUUGCGUCCCAAGUAGGCUCACGUGAUUGACAUAAAUGACUCAAAUUGGGAACGGAUGAAAACUCCUCCUAUUGCAUGUUCAUGAAUCAGAUAUGGAUGAUAUGGCACCACUUUUCCAUUGCCGUCCCACGCACAUCAUCCACGGUUUCCACAGAGACUGGUAGAAGUAAAAUUGCCAACUCAUCUACCUCCCUCUAUCAAUAUAUAUUAUCUAAUCACGUUCUUGCAUCACGUGUUCUGCGACCAUCAACCGGAGACUUUGACAAUUAUGAACCAUUCCAACACGUCUAAAUACACGUAAGAUUCAUCGGGAUGGCAUAAUCUCUUGUUAAGUCAACGGGCUUUACCUCCCUUCUUUUAUAUGAAUUUUUUUCUGACUACUAAUUAUUAUGUAAAUAGUGAUCAAGAUAUCGAAUGCACCUAUAUAUACAUUACAUACCCAUACCCAGACCAACUCUGAACAGCCAUCAUGGCCGCCACCCACAUUGCCCUGUUCGCAUCCGGCCUCGCCGUCUUGCUUCUCCUAGUCCAAGGAUCGCCGCCAGGGCCCGUUGUCCGGUGCCGGUCCGGCAACACUAACUGCACCGUGACCAACGGCUAUGGAGCCUUUCCUGAUCGCAGCACCUGCCGCGUCGCCGCGGUCGCGUACCCUUCGACCGAACAGGAGCUCCUGUUAGCUGUCUCCGACGCCACCGAGAAGCAGCAGCACAUGAAGGCUGUCACGAUGUACUCCCACAGCAUCCCCAAGCUGUCGUGCCCCGGCGGGCCGAGCGGCCAGGGCCUGGUCAUUAGCACCCAGCUCCUCAACAGAUCGGUGAGCGUGGACAUGGCCACCUCGCGGAUGACGUUCGAGGCAGGGAUCACACUUAGGGCGCUCCUUGACGCGGCGGCCGCCCGUGGCCUGGCGCUACCCCACUCGCCGUACUGGCAAGGGAUCACGCUCGGCGGGCUGCUGAGCACCGGUUCGCAUGGGAGCUCGGUGUUCGGGAAGGGCUCGGCGGUGCACGAAUAUGUGGUAGGGAUGAGGCUGGUGGUUCCAAGUCCGGUACCGGUGAACGGGUACUACGCCAAGAUCGUUAAUCUUGGUGAGGAUAAUCCUGAUCUCUUGGCUGCCAAGGUUUCUCUCGGUGUUCUUGGAGUCAUUUCUCAGGUAUGUGUGUGGUGACCUACGUGUUGUUCUUUGUUCUUUACACGGUUUGAGAUCCAUGUGAUAACUCAUCUUAGUUCUUCAUGGUGGUUCUUCCAACCACGUCAAGUGCUUUCAUAAGCUGAGUACAUGACUCGCCACGUCUCGAUGCUAAUUAGGUGCAACUAUAUCUUUAAUUCUUCAUGAUAUAAUAGAGAUCAUCCUACUGUUAUUAGCAACGCUGAAUACAUCCUAUCGUCAGCAAAAUGUCGAGACAGAAAAAAAGAACUUGUUUUCUAUCAAAUCACUUUACAAAGGAAGACUUGUUCUUUUCCUCGAAUCUAGAAAGUUACGUAAAUAAUAGGCUGUUGAUGAUCCCAGUGGACUUUACUUUUAAUCUUUCCUUCUUUUCUUGCUUUGCUUGUCUUCCUUGUUUCAAAAAGGGCUGAUGCAAACCGUUGAACCGUUCUAAUGAUUCCAUGUACCUUCCCUCGUCGUUUAUCGUAACUACACAACAUAAUUGAGUGUUAUGGAACAUAUGAGCACAUGCAAACCCACAUAGACAAAGAUCAGAGAAAAAGCAAACUUUGCAAUAACAGCUACAGUGACGUUGAUGAUGACUCGGGGUAAAUGAGAGUGCCCCUUCCUUCACAUAUGGAGCCUCGCGCAAGGCAAGAGGCAGGCAGGUCCAUGCUGCCUUGCCUUGCAGAGCUUACGACCGGGCCCGCUAAUUGCCUUAAAAGCCUCAGUAACAAUUAUUAGGUUGAAGGACGAUAGGGGAUGUCAGUAGUAGUAGUUCUUGUUUCAGUCUUAUUGCCUGAAUAGCUGAAAAGAGUUGACUUGCAAUACAUGUAAGCUUUUGUUCUUCUGCUUCAUUAUAAGUAACCUAAGAAUUACUUGAACCGAUCGCGCAGGUCACCCUCCAACUUGAGCCAAUGUUCAAGCGAUCCAUCACCAACAGGGUCGUAAGCGACGUUGGCUUCGAGCAAACCAUCUCCUCGUACGCUGCCGCUACAUACUAUGGGGACAUCAGCUGGUAUCCGUCACAACGCAGAGUGGUGUACCGAGAUGAUAUCAAGGUCCCCAUCACCACCAAAGGAAAGGGUGUCAACGACUACUUAGGGUUCCGAGCUCAGCCCACCCUUGUCGUAGCCUCUCUACGUGCUUCAGGUCUUAUAAAUUGCAGUUUUUAUUUUGCUUGUCAAUCUUGAUGUAGUGUUCGAGAAGUAUUGUGAACACAUUUACAUCGACAUUUCGUCCGAGAUUUAUACUAAGAAGGCAUCUUUUGUCCUCUACCAUGUGUUUGUGUCAAUGACUGCAGAGGAACUAUUGGAAGCAACGGGAAAUGCGGAAGGCAAAUGUGUGCUGUUCAGAUUGCAAGUAGAUACUUUGAUUGCGAUCGGCAUGGGCUUUAAGAACAAUGACGGCGGCUUGUUAGAAUUCACUGGCUAUCCGGUCAUUGGAAACCAAAGCGACAUGCAAUCCGCUGGUAGGUUCUCAAAUUAUCCGAGGAAUGUCUGCAUGUAUGAAUGAUAACUCUUGACGAUAAUGCUUCAUCACAAUAAUGACACAUGUAAUGCCCGGAUUUAUUUAGUUUGAGUCAUCUUCUCUCCAGGUUCAUGCCUAAGGAGUGCAGAAGACAACCUUCUUACAGCCUGUGGCUGGGACCCUCGUUUUGCGGGGCUCUUCUACCACCAAACCACGAUAAGCAUCCCCUUCACCACCAUCGCUGGCUUCAUCGCCGACGUCAAGAAGCUCCGCGACGCCCAUCCCGACGCACUCUGCAGCACCGAGCUGUACUUGGGCUUCUUCAUGCGCUUCGUCCGCAACUCCACAGCUUAUCUUGGCAAAACCGACGACGUGGUGGACAUCGACAUCACAUACUAUCGUUCCAAGGAUCCAAAAAAGCCGCGACUCUACGAGGAUGUGCUCGAGGAGAUCGAACAGAUGGCCUUGUUCAAGUACAAUGCGCUGCCGCACUGGGGGAAGAAUAGAAAUGUCGGCUUCCUCAAUGUCAAGAACAAGCUGGGGGCUAAGUUGGACAAGUUUGUGAGUGUGAUGCAGAAGUAUGACAGCAAUGGAUUGUUCUCUUCAGACUGGACCGAUGCGGUACUGGGACUGCGAGGGAAGGAAGUUGUGGUGCAGGGUGAUGGUUGUGCACUGGAGGGGCUGUGCAUUUGCUCCACUGAUGACCACUGCGCUCCUAAACAAGGCUAUUAUUGUCGACCUGGAGAAGUCUACGAACAGGCUCGAGUGUGCAGGAAGAUUAAAUCCGUGGAAGCUGAUGGUUAGGUUUAUUUCUGUGUCGCUUCCUCUUCGAAUAAAGGAUGUAAUGUCAGUCAAUAAUUACUACAUAGUUUAUUAUUGUAAUAUUAAAGCAAGCGUCGAUAAAUGCAAUAUUGUAUGGGAGGCAGAUUGCAUUCCUCCUGAUUUAUCUGUGCAACUCCAAGAUGACUUAUGCAAGUCAUUCUAUAGAACUAUAAUGUGUUAAUAAAUUUCUUUUGGGCAAAAAAAUUAGGACAUAAUUUCUCAUUGUUUUUAAUUGCAAGAUCCCAUUGUGAAGGAAAGGAACACUCUCCAGUAUCCGUUGCAUGAAAGGGACGAGGAAGCAAGAAAUAACAGUGCCAUUAUUAAUGCCAUCGUGUGGAGAGACGUAGUAUGUUAACGCGAUAUUCUUCGCUAUCAUUCCUUAAAAUAAGAAUGAUGAUUAAUGAUAAUAACCUGCGACUCACGUAAACGUUCUGAUUAAUUUUACAUUAAUCACACUUGAACCACGUUUCGUGACACAAAUGACAUGGUAGUUCACACCGGUUGCAUUUCAAAUUUUUGACUCAAAGCUCGUCCUAUGGAUCGCGAGAAUAAACCAUAUGGUAAGAAGCUACGUAAAUAUGGAAAUCACAAAGAAUGGUGAUUACUGUAAUUAAGCCUUCCUCGAUCCCCCCCAACCCCAAGAAACUACUGCUCUCUCUAAAUAACUCUACGGCGCAGCAUCCAAUCUCCUUUUUGUUCCUUUCUCAUCCUCGUAAUAUAAUUUAGAGAUAGGAAGUGGUCGCGCCAUGAGCAAGGGAAACAGCAGCGAGAGCAAGCUGAGCCAGUGCAUCAAGGCCCCCGACCUGGCUCUGCGACAUACCCGGGACUUGUGCGAGAGCAGCAUGGCCGGGACUGAUAAUAUAUGUAUACACGAUAAUCUCAUGUAAGCUCGUUCAUCUACACCAAAUACUAGUUUUAGAUCGGGCAUGACAUCCUGAAGGAAUGAUUGUUUAAUUGACGACAGUGUUUAUUUACGUGUGGAUUUGACGUGCUUGUUUCCAUCUUUAAAAAGGAAAAUUCAAAUUCUUUUAAAAAAAAACUGUCAACUUAAUUUUUCAAAUAGCUCUUCAAAAAAUUCUCAUUGAGUAUUUUUUUUUUUCAAAAAGACUAUUCUAUAUCAAUCGGUCAUCGCCUCCGCCUCGUAUCACUUCUGAACACGUAUCAGAGUAUUUUUUUCAAAAAGUUUCUUCUAAGCGUGAGACAAUGUAUCACUUCUGAACACGUAUCAGAGUAAAUCCAGGCCAUUGCAGUUUGCAACUUCUUCUUUCUUUUCCUGAUCCAAUUCUUACAGUUGUUGGUGAUCAUCCGCAAUUUCUUCCCAGUAUAUGUUCCCCUUGUAGCUCAAGCAAUAUCCGAAGGUAACUUUAGCUAUAAAUUUCGUUUGGUUUGGAAGUUCAAGAAAAAAUAGUCACUCUUAUGUCCAAAGUUAUUGACAGAAAUGAGGUGGUCUCAUUAACUAUGCUUUGAUACUAUGGACUACGGUCAAGAAUUUGAAGCUGUCUGGCAACAUUUACAAGUGAGAAUGGAACGGAUAAAUGAAAUCAAAAGUACCCAUUUGGACUGCACAAGAAAAACCUUUAUGACUGACGUUUUGAACUGUUCAUAUGAGGUAGUCACUGUUAACUCACAUCCACGUUCAAGAAAAGGAUGUGCUACAGUCUCCUAGCGGUGGCAAUUCCAUGAUUGUCCACCGAGGAUGCUUAUUAUUCUUAUUCGCAAGCAGUUCGUCUGAGAAAUUAACUCAGAAGCCUCGUAUUGUGCUUCUGCUCAACCAAAGAAAGAGAUCAGAAGUGGAGAUAGAAGAUCCAUGGAGCAGGACGAUCCCAAUUACCUCUUCCAGGCCUAAAUUGUAGAGUAAGUUGAUCUCUGUCAUAACCAAGUCUUGGCAGCGAUCUCCAAAGAGUUCCAUGCAUCUCGGCCAUGUAGUCGGCAACGAAGCGACGUGAUGGCAUUGAAUUCAGUGUACUCUCUGUGCAGUCACCUUACUCGGCAUCCAUGCAACCGUUCUUCCUUUAUUUUCAAAGAUAAUGAUUACUGAUUUCUUCGAGGGGAAGUGCUUCUAAAUGUGCUCGUGCAAUUGAUUCUCUUCUCAAUCGAUCUUGAUGUGCCAUGCGAUCAAACUCACAUUACGGUGUUCGUGAACAGACGUUGAAGAUCAUGGAAGGAGUAUUUUGUUUGCUGUGAUUGUGUGGAGAGAAACACACGAGGCAAGGGAAGUCCCUGUGUAGUCGGAGAAGGCAACGGAUGGCUUGGCUUUUUCUUCCCUGUAAAGGUGGAAGACGAGAUGGCCAGAUGAUCUAAUAUUAUAUUGCAGUGUUGCGUCUGUCCGUGGUUGUAGGAGUGUCCUACAAAAACAAUAACAGCUUGUUACUAAGACAUGUUCUAUAAACAAUCAAAACAAUUAAAUAUUACACGCAUUAUAUUAAGACCAGCAGAAAAUGUCUUACGUGAUUAAGUAAUUUAGUAUCUGAUAUGGGACUGACAUAUAAAUCAAAUUCUUUUAAAGUAGAAGAAUCUGAAAUAUUUUUUCUUUGUUUUUCUCAAAUAACCUAUUCAAUCUUAUUUCAUAUGCGAACCCAUUAGUUCAUCAAAUAAAAAUAUAGAUAAAUCUUUUGACUCUUAUAACAAUAUGAUCAAAUUUCGGAGUUAAACUUUUCAAAACUUUUAUAACAAUUAUAUGAUAAGGAAGAUGUACACCAUAAAAUUUUAUUUAACUAACAAUAUCAAUCACUUGUGAAAGAAAAUCUUACAUCGAUUCAUUAUUUUUCAUGAAUAAAUUUUAAAUUCACCACGAAGGGUUUAAAGUUUUACUGUAAUCACCCUUGUUGAGCCUUGAAAUUCAUUUUGAAGUAUCAAUCAAACUUGCUUUAAGGUUAUUGCUAUUGUAAUUCUUGAGAAAAUUAUUUCAUGUAUAGCUUGUUGAAUGAACAACAAUGCCUUUGAGUUCUUAUUUCUAUUCUUCCUCAGCCUGAUUUUUUUAUGUAGACCUACAUAUCCAUUCUCUAUUAAGUCCCAAAGAUCUUGAGACUUGAAUAAAAUAUUUAUCUUGAUACUCUAAAAUUCAUAGCAUUUGUCCGAGAAGAUGGAAAUAAGGGGUUGAGACAUAAAAUUAUUAUUAAAAGUCAUAAUACCCAAUUCGGAUUGAAAACUUAGCUAUGAUACCAUAAAUGUUGAGGAUGAAGGAAUAAGGAAAUGAUAAAAACAGAAUACUAUGAUAUAAUUAAAAAAAAUAUUUUGAUCAAGAAAAUCGUUGUAGUAUUUAAAUAAGAUAUAAGAUAUGAACACUUACAAGAUAUUCUCAAGUGCACACUCUUUAUCUUAUUUCAUGAAUUAAGGUCUUAUUUAUAGGACAUAGUGGUAACUACCUCACUCCAUCAUGUCACCCGUGAUUGAAUUAGGUGUAGAAACUACCUUAUAAUUUUUAGAUCAUGGGUCAUUAUUUAAAAUAUGUCCACAACUAUUUAAAACAUGAUAACUAUCUAGAUAACUACUAUGAAUCAUUAAUUUUACGUUACUGUUUUCUUCGAGCGGAAGUGCUUCUAAAUGUGCUCGUGCAAUUGAUUAUCUUCUCAAUCGAUCUUGGUGUGCCAUUCGAUCAAACUCACGGUAUGGUGUUCGUGAACAAACGUUGAAGAUCAUGGAAGGAGUUUUUUUUUUGCUUGCUUGACGUAAUUGUGUGGAGAGAAACACACGAGGCAAGGGAAGUCCCUGUGUGGCCGGAGAAGGCAACGGAAGAUCAAGUGCAAGACAACCGAUGGCUUGGCUUUUUCUUCCCUGUAAAGGUGGAAGACGAGAUGGAUAGAUGAUCUAAUAUUAUAUUGCAUUGUUGAGGGUAUCCAAUCAUUGUACAUCUGUCCGUAGCCGUAGGAGUGUCCUAAAAAAGCAAUAACAGCUUGUUACUAAGACAUGUUUUAUAAACAAUCAAAACAAUUAAAUAUUACACGCAUUAUAUUAAGGCCGGCAGAAAAUGACUACUACUUUUCGAUACUCUCUUGUGUUGUGCUUACGUGAUUAUAGUAUGAUAUGAGACUGACAUAUGACCAACACUUCAGUAACGUACGACCUACACCUCAACCGGAGGAUCUCAUCCAAGCAAUGCAUAGUAGGCACUUUGACACUCAACGGUAGGAAUCUAAAGCUCUUCAACCCCUAAUGUAUGGAAUUUGAGGUGACUUCGUAAUUUUCUUUUACAAAUUUUAAUAAAUAUAUAUUUCUCUCUAAAUAUUAUUAUCAUUCAAAUAAAUCCUUCACAUUAACGUUCUUUAAAAAGAAACCAAGAUAACCACAAUAAUCAUGGUUUUCUUCAAUUGACCAUUUGACUUCAAACCAAUUUUUAACAUAAAAUAUUUUAUAUAUCUUACUAUCUUAAUAAGGCUUGUAAAAUGUAUCAAUGUCGCUCUAAUGGUGAAAUAACAGACAUGGAGAAUAAUUUUACAGUCUCCAUAUAUAAAUAAAAAAAUCACUCUAUGUAUAAGAACACACAAAGGUAUAAUUACACUAAAAACAAUACAAUUAUCGAUGCCCCUCGCAAAAAUAUUUUAUAUCGGUUGUAUUUAAUCGGCUCACGUCGAUCAAGGUUUGUGUUUUGUCGUUAAAUCAAUCAAGUUGUCCAUUUGAUAUCAUUCAUUUACGUGCAUUUGUCCAUCAAAUAAUAAUAGUUGGACCAUGAGUUGGCUAUCUUAUCUUCCUGCCCAUCAAAACCCUUCCAUGAUGUGGCAUCGAAUAAACUUACGAUUAAAACAUGAUGAAUCAACCCUUACAAUUUAUAACAAAUAAUUGGACCGAUUCUUCCAAAUUUUAUAGUCCCAUCGUGAGGGAUGCAUGACCAAACAACCUCGCCCACAGCAUUUGACGCAGCCAUCACUAACCUUAUCGCUUUUAAAUGCAUAGUAUGGUAAAAAUAAUGAUAAUAAACUCGCGUCACAAGUUGAUAUUUUUAUUGGUUUUAGUCAAUUUCCACUUGAAGCACGUGAAUGACGUAAAUGACAUUACAGUUCGCAUUGCGUACGCAUCUAACUCUUUUGACUGGAAGCUCCUCCAAUUGCAUGUCCAUGAAUCAGAUAUGGAUGAUAUGGUACCACUUUUCCAUUGUCUUCCCACGCACAUCAUCCACGGUUUCCACACAGACUAGUAGAAGUAAAAUUGCCAACUCAUCUACCUCCAUCUAUCAAUAUAUUAUAUAAUCUCGUUCUUGCAUCGCGUGUUCUGCGACCAUCAACCGGAGACAUUAACAAUUAUGAGCCAUUCCAACACGUCUAAGUACACGUCAGAUUCAUCGGGAUGGCAUAAUCUCUUGAUAAGUCAAUGGGCUUUACCUCCCUUAUUUUAUCUGAAUUUUUUUCUGACUGUGUAAACAAAUUCACCUAUAUAUACAGACAUGCCCGGAUCAACUCUGGACAACCAUCAUGGCCGCCACCCACAUUGCCCUGUUCGUUUCCGGCCUUGCCGUCUUGCUUCUCCUCGUCCAAGGAUCGCCGCCAGGGCCUGUUGUCCAGUGCCGGUCUGGCAACACUAACUGCACCGUGACCAACGGCUAUGGAGCCUUUCCUGAUCGCAGUACCUGCCGCGUCGCCGCGGUCGCGUACCCUUCGAACGAACAGGAGCUCCUGUUAGCUGUCUCCGACGCCACCGUGAAGCAGCAGCACGUGAAGGCGGUCACGGUGUACUCACACAGCAUCCCCAAGCUGUCGUGCCCCGGCGGGCCGAGCGGCCAGGGC
rnacentral:lncRNA from 1 species